UCGCACCUCACCCCCACGCUCUGAAAGAUCCACGCCAAAUGCCACCUGGUCGGGCGACCCUCGCCCUCCUGCCGAAGUCCAGAGAACUGAAUAUAAUUUGUCCUGUUGUAAAUAAAUCACUUACCUUUUCCA